UCCAAGCAGCUGAUGGGAAUUUCUUUUCAAAAAAGCAGCUGAUGGGAAGUACUACGUGGGUUCCGAUUGGAGAGUGAGCUUGCCCAUAUGAUCAUAACACGUCUGCCACCUCACCCUGCAUUAGGUGAGACAGUUGAUUUCUGCUGAUCCCUUCAGUUUCAAGGGAGACCACUUGUAGUAAUGUACGUUGCGCAUUGCUUUACAAUAUAGUAUCACCCAUCCAACCUGGACAAGCUUUAAAACAUACUACCAUGAUUCAGUACUAAUCAUAUUUAGGACCUAUUUGGUUACGUUUAUUAUAAGCCUACUUAUAAUAAGUUCAAAUAGGUGUUUAAUUGUAUGGCUUAUAAUAACUCUUUGCGGUAGGUAAUGAUUUCUAUACCCCUCAGUAGUAUCCUUAAAGAGUUGAAUGGAUUGGGCCGUGAAGAGGUGUUGAGAUUGUAAAGUGCUCUUUUCCUGGUGGGAUCCAUACAAAAAAGGGUUAUUUAGAUAGGCGCCAUUACAAUUCUGCCGAUUUGGAGAUCUACCAUUGGAAUUCAACUAAUAGCAUUGGCACCAUUACAAUUCGAUACUUAUUUGAGAUAUGCCAUGCUCCACACCAGCAGCGACGUCAGGCCCACCUGCAGGUGUAUUCGAACCCGUAUUGCCCAAGCUGCCCCUAAUACAAGUGGAUAAGAUGUUCUCAGCCUAUACCCACCUGCCAUCGAGUCCCCCAUCCCCACUCUCCCUUCAACUCCGACCCAAUCCCUAACCCUAGACGCGGCGAUUGGAGACGGCGACGGCGGGCGAAUCCAUUCUUCUCCAGCGAUGGAGAGCGAGGCGGACUGAAGACAAGGAAGGCGGGAAGCAUGGACGAUGGAGCAAUGAGGGUUGACGUGUUUUCUUUAGAGAUUAAAGUUGAAGGUGUUGUCACCUCUACCAGUGAUGGUGGUAGAACCUACAGUGAAGGCAAGGUUAUGAAGUGGAUGUCUAGAGAAAAAUCCCAACAAAAAGAAAGUAAGAUGUAAGAGGUGCAAAGGGUAUGGACACUUUGAAAAGACCUGCAAGCUGGCAGAACCAGAAGAAGAUGAAGCUGUAGAAACUGAAAUUGAACCCCAAAAUAAGAGGAUGCGACAAGAAGAUGAGGGCACUAGUGAAGCACCUCAACAGAAAAAGAAAAAGAAGGCACCGGCCAAGAAGGCACCAGCCAAGAAGAAGGGUACACCCAAGAAGAAAAAGAUACCAACUAAGAAAAAACAGAAAAAAAAUUUAACUGCUCCACCACCUAGAGUUGUUAGGAGCCUGUUGGAUUGUCUUAAUCAAGGCAUCAACAACUGAAGCACCUCAAGUCAACAACUUCGUUUAUUUUGUUAAGUUUGUGAACAUAUCUGUUAUCUUAUCCACUGAACUUGUAAGGCUUAUAUGUGGCCACUUUGUGAACCUUUAUGACAAAUGAACCUAUUAGGCACUUCUAUGGCCUCUGUGAUGUUAUCUGAACCUGUAAGGUGCUCCUGUGCCUGUGUUGUGUGAACUAUGUGAAUCUAUGAAUUUGACUCUGUGAAC